GCUCGAGUGGUGGAAUCGGUAGACACGCCGGACUUAAAAUCCUGUGCCCUUUUGGGCGUGCGGGUUCAAGUCCCGCCUCGAGUA
rnacentral:tRNA from 3 species